rnacentral:RNase_P_RNA from 1 species
GGAGUUGUCCAGAUGAUCGCUGGAAGACGAUUUUCUUAGGAAAAGACGAUCUUUCGGAGGAAAGUCCGGGCUCCACAGGACGCGAUGAUGGGUAACACCCACCGGCCGCGAGGCCAGGGAAAGUGCAGCAGAAAAGAUACCGCCGUGUUUACACCUGAAGAGAGGCGCCAGCAAUGGUUCUGUUCGAGGUUUCACGGUAAGGGUGAAAUGGCGAGGUAAGAGCUCACCAGCGGAUCGGGCGACCGGUCCGGCUAUGCAAACCCCAUCGGGAGCAAGGUCAAGCAGAAACCUGUCCAUGAAAAGAGGCGGAAUCGAGCGAUCGGUUUCGGAUCGGAUCGUGGACGAAAGUGGUCCGCUUUUACAGGUUUCGGGUAGACCGCGCCGAGCGGACAGGCAACUGUCCGCCAAGAUAAAUGAUCAUCACGAAGAAUCCGAAAGGAUCUCUUCGGACAGAACCCGGCUUAUGGACAACUCCGUUU